AAACGAUAACAAAUCAAUUUUUUUUUUUUCUUUUCUGGGUUGUGGGUUCUAUCAUUUGAAGUUUCUCUGUUUAUGAUUUGUUCUACAGGAAGAACGAUUGUAACACCAAGGGAAACUAUCACUCCAAUCUAUAAGAACCCAUCUCAUUUCUCUCAUUUUAAUCCAAUUCUCACCCCAAAACCAUACCCUUUUCUUCUUCUCACAAGAAUUUCACUCUUACACCUCAAAACUUCAUUGAUUCUUGCUAGAAAACCACCACCAGCACUACCACCAUCUUCAGUCCUGGCAAUGGAACAGUCUGCAGCUUCCUCGUCCGUGAUGCUAACGUCCGGUGCCAGCGGGAGGAUUAAUGCGUUGUUUUCGGUACGAGCGUUAAAGAGUUUUUUAAUACUGAUAAACGCCGUCGUUCUGUUUCUGCUGCUCCCUUUCCGUGGCCGGAGACGGACAGUGCCCAUUAAUUCAUCGACGGAGAAGCCUAAAGAUUUUGAGAAGCUUCAGGAGUGUGGGACCCAGCGGAAGAUGGUGCGGGUCCCAGCGACGAUCGUGCCUUGGAAGAGUAGCGCAUCAUCUGGUGGUGGUGGUGGAGGAGUGGCGGUGGAUCAGGAGGUCGCGGCCAGGAGAGCCCUCGCAAUCCGCCGGGUGUUACAGGAUGAUGACCCCAAUUCGUUGAGGGAGUUUUCGCUGUUUGUUACCCCCAGAGGAGACACCAUUUUUACCCAGUUGUGGACACCUGUUUCUGUCAGAAUCAGGGGACUGGUGGUUCUUAUGCAUGGCCUAAAUGAACACAGUAGCAGAUACAGUAAUUUUGCAAAGCAGCUGAAUGCUGAGGGGUUUAAGGUUUAUGCAAUGGAUUGGAUUGGACACGGUGGGAGUGAUGGCCUUCAUGCAUAUGUUCCUUCUCUCGAUUAUGCUGUCAGUGAUUUGAAAUCUUUUCUCGAUAAAGUUUUAGGAGACAAUCCUGGGCUUCCAUGUUUUUGCUUUGGACACUCAACAGGAGCAGCCAUUGUUCUGAAGGCGGUGCUGGAUCCAAAAGUAGAAGCCCGUGUAGCUGGUGUAGUACUGACUUCCCCUGCAGUAGGAGUUCAGCCAUCCCAUCCUAUUUUUGUGGUACUGGCCCCAAUUUUCUCAGUUUUAUUGCCAAGGUUGCAACUUAGUGCUGCAAACAAGAAGGGCACGCUAGUUUCUCGUGAUCCAGAGGCGCUAAUAGCCAAGUAUUCAGACCCAUUAGUGUACACUGGAUCCAUUAGGGUAAGAACUGGGUAUGAAAUUCUGCGAAUUACAACUUAUUUGCAGCAAAAUCUGAGCAGAAUGAGAGUACCCUUUCUAGUUCUGCAUGGUACUGCUGACACCGUAACUGACCCAGAAGCUUCACAAAAACUUUAUGAUGAAGCAUCCUCAACUGACAAAACCAUAAAAUUAUUUGAAGGAUUCUUACAUGAUCUCCUAUUUGAACCAGAAGGCCAAGAUAUCAUGAAUGACAUAAUUGAAUGGUUGAGUUGUAGGUUAUAAGGUUUGGUAGUGCAACAAAAGAAGUUAUUGGAUAUUUAGCCAAGAACUAGAAGAUCCUAAAAGCCAUCAGCAUCUUUAGGGAUUUGCUGCUUGAAUGAAGCUUUCCUAUUAAGUAGACCAGAACUUGUGCUGCUGAAUAAGAUUCAUCAUUUUUAUGUUGAAACCUGAACCAUGUUGCUUUUUGAUUGCUUGUAAUGCUAUUUGAGUAUCAAGCAUUCAAGUCAACUGCCUUUGCUUUUGCUCUCUCUGAACUCUGAUUGUAGUAAACUAAGAUGCAGAAAUAUGAGAAACUAGCUAAGUGUCCGUGCUUUGCACCUUGCUAUUGAUCAUAUAUAUAUAUGGAUUAAACUUUUUUUUUUUUUUUUAAAAAAUUUUAAU
rnacentral:misc_RNA from 1 species